GCCUUCGUGGUGUAAUGGUCAGCACACUGAGCCGGUAUUUCAGAGGUCCUUGGUUCGAUCCCCGGCGAAGGAA
rnacentral:tRNA from 1 species